rnacentral:ncRNA from 1 species
UCAAAAACUGUGAACGGAAAUAGUAGACAUGAUCGGCCUUAAGAGAGCAGAACUGCUGCGCUGAGAGGUUCUGUAGGAUGCGAUACGUCGAAGUCGUCCGGGAGUUGUUUAUUUGAGACCAGACUUGUCUGAUAAUGAUGAUCAGGAGCUGGUAUAGAAUAAACCGGUAGCAGCCGUUAUCUGUCUUAGAGUGUCGUUGUCCGGCCAUUAUGCUAUACGGAUAACGAAACAAAGGUGGUACCACGAGAGCCAGGCCUUUCGUCCUUUGA